GCUCUUUUGUCUUCAWAGUGCCCACCACAAAUGCCAACACAACUACAAUGGCUACUCCUGUCAUCACUACUUCCAUCAUCACAACUACAACCACUGAAACUGCCGCUGUGGCACUCACUAAGUUGACUGUGGUGUUCCGGUCCAGAGGAGAGACGUUUACCUCUGACCUAUCAAACCCAUCUUCUCAGGCCUUUCAAACCCGAGCAUUACUGAUUAAAACUCAGCUUGAACCUUUCUAUCGAACAGCUUUCACCUCUUUCAACAGUUUGARMGUGACASAAUUCAGGUGAUUUCCUUUUCGUUACAUUUUCUAUGUUGAUWUAAAUUGAUCUCACUUUCUAUCUAACAUGUUAUCUCUCAUUUGUUCCCAGCUCUGGAUCCAUCAUCAAUACUAUGAAUUUAGCAUUCAGCUCCUCCUCCGUCCCAAAUUCCACGGAGAUUGGCACUGUUUU